ACACUUGCUAAAGCUGACCUGCCCCGUUUCCCUUCAGGUUCUACUGGGGGCCUAGUCCUCAGCCUCCUGCCUCCUCGUCCUGUGACAACUGAGGCUCCUAGCAGGCCAUGCAGCUGUGUCAAGGUGCCUCCAGCAUGGCAGCAGCCGAAGUGCCUGGCUACCUUGUGUCUCCUCAGACCGAGAAGCAUCGGCGGGCCCGCAACUGGACAGAUGCUGAGAUGCGCGGCCUCAUGCUGGUCUGGGAGGAGUUCUUCGAUGAGCUCAAGCAGACCAAGCGCAAUGCCAAGGUGUAUGAGAAGAUGGCCAGCAAGCUCUUCGAGAUGACUGGGGAGCGCCGGCU
rnacentral:lncRNA from 1 species